AUGAAGGUAGUGGUUCUCGGGGUCGAGAAAAGGCUAGGAAGCAAAAGAGGAGGGUAGAAGAUACUACUCAUCAAUCUUUUCCACCAUCUUCUGAUUUGCCUAUCACUAUGCCAUAGCCUCUACCCCAUGGCUAUACUGAGUUGCCACAACAUCACUAGCCCUACACCUUCAUGCAGACCCUGGGUGUUUCUUCACAAGGCCAUCGGACUGUGCGUCCGACAUACAGUCCACCUGCCUCACUACCACGUGGAUCCCGCCCAGCAGCAUCACAUGGAUCGCAUCGAUCCAUGUCACAGCCACAUGGAUCACAGCCAUCAGUGUCACAGCCAGUCGGGUCACAACCACUCGGGUCACAGCAGUCAGUAUCACAGCCAUUUGCGAUUCGUGCAGCUAUGUCGCAGUCACAGGGAUCACAUUUAUCGUCAUCAGCGACUCCACCUAUUGGAGCCCUUCGCUUGCGGGAUAGUAGCUCUGACCCCCCUAAUCCUUCCACACAUGCCUCUGAUACACAUGUUUCGGACGAUGAUGCUGAUCUUGCUACUGCUCCUGACGAGGAGGUGCAUUAUGAUUAGUAUGGCAGGAUCAUCAUAGUCCCUGAGGGUGAUGGGUUCCUCCCGAGUAAUAUUACUACGAGGAUAAUCACCAAAGCAACCAGAAAGCUUUAUGAUGCCCCUUAUGCGUCUUGGCGUGAAUUUCCAUUCUUACUGAAGGAGGCAAUUUUCAAUGAAUUUAAGAGCAAGUGUGUAUGGGAACACCAGUAUAGCGCGGACGUGGCUGCAAAUUUUAAUCUCAAAGCUCGCAAGCGGUUGUCGCAUUCUUUCUCCAUAGCUAGAUAGCUGAACCAGAAGCCUGACUGGUUGCUUCAGGAGUUUUGGGAUGAUUUGCAAAGGCAAUGGCUUACUGCAGAGUUCUUACAGAAGAGAGAAAAGGGAAAGAAAG